UACGUAGGGGGCAAGCGUUGUCCGGAUUUAUUGGGCGUAAAGAGCGUGUAGGCGGCCAGGUAGGUCCGUUGUGAAAACUGGAGGCUUAACCUCCAGCUGUCGAUGGAAACCAUCUGGCUAGAGUCCGGAAGAGGAGAGUGGAAUUCCUGGUGUAGCGGUGAAAUGCGCAGAUAUCAGGAAGAACACCCGUGGCGAAGGCGGCUCUCUGGGACGGUACUGACGCUGAGACGCGAAAGCGUGGGGAGCGAACAAG
rnacentral:rRNA from 1 species